UACAGAGGGUGCGAGCGUUAAUCGGAAUUACUGGGCGUAAAGCGUGCGUAGACGGCUAUCUAAGUCGGGUGUGAAAGCCCCGGGCUCAACCUGGGAGUUGCAUUCGAGACUGAAUAGCUAGGGUGCGGUAGAGGGAAGCGGAAUUUCCGGUGUAGCGGUGAAAUGCGUAGAUAUCUGAAGGAACAUCAGUGGCGAAAGCGACUUCCUGGACCAAUACUGACGCUCAUGUGCGAAAGCGUGGGGAGCAAACAGG
rnacentral:rRNA from 1 species